rnacentral:lncRNA from 1 species
AGGUGGCCAAGAAAAAGGCCAAGGUUCAUGAGCCAUGAGGCAUUCAUGGAGGUUCUAGGGCUAGUUUGGGCCCUAGCGUGAAAGGCUAUCGAUUUUCAUAGUCUUAAGGUCCAAGAGAUUUGGGCCUUAAGGGGCUAACUUGUAUUAGAUUAGGUUUGUAUCCAAGAAAGAUGAGAUUGGAUCAAGUUAUGGGUGUACAUGGGGUUGGAUAAGCGCAAUCUCAUAUUGGAUUAGC